GCAUAAAUAUUAAAMAACGAGAUCCCGUAUCAGGAGCCGAAACAAACAAGAACGUUAGCUCAAAGGAUUAUUAUGCGUACCGAUUAAUGAUUAGACGUGGCCUGGACAACGUCAUUUUACGAU